rnacentral:tRNA from 1 species
GGGGGUCAUAGCUCAGUGGUAGAACAUCUGACCAGCAUGCAGAUAGUUCCAGGUUCAAACUCUGAAGUCGCUA